UGGGGAAUAUUGGACAAUGGGGGCAACCCUGAUCCAGCGACGCCGCGUGUGUGAAGAAGGCCUGCGGGUUGUAAAGCACUUUUAGUGGGGAUGAAAAGUACAUCGCUAAUACCGGUGUAUCUUGACCUAACCCAAAGAAAAAGCACCGGCUAACUCUGUGCCAGCAGCCGCGGUAAUACAGAGGGUGCGAGCGUUAAUCGGAAUUACUGGGCGUAAAGCGUGCGUAGACGGUUAUUUAAGUCGGGUGUGAAAGCCCCGGGCUCAACCUGGGAAUUGCAUUCGAGACUGAAUAGCUAGGGUACGGUAGAGGGAAGCGGAAUUUCCGGUGUAGCGGUGAAAUGCGUAGAUAUCGGAAGGAACAUCAGUGGCGAAAGCGGCUUCCUGGACCAGUACCGACGUUCAGGCACGAAAGCGUGGGGAGCAAACA
rnacentral:rRNA from 1 species